AGAGCAGGCAUGGCCAAACUUGGCCCUCCAGCUGUUUUUGGACUACAACUCCCAUCAUCCCUAGCUAACAGGUCAUGGAUGAUGGGAACUGUAGUCCCAAAACAGCUGUAGGGCCAAGUUUGGUCAUGCCUGUAGC